GACAACGGCAACAAUAAUCACGACGACUUCUACGACAGCAGGAGACAUGCAUGCAUACGCGUAGCCUAAGUGCGUAUUUUUUGUCAAUUUGAUCAACCCGACCAUCUUUGUGAUAGGUUUCGAACCGAUCGAAUUUGACAUUAAAUCGCAGCUUCCGUCGCGCGUAUGCAUCACUAAUCCCUAAACCGUACUUUUUUUUUUGUCUAUUUGAUCAACCCGACCAUCUUCGUGAUAGGUUUCGAACCGAUCAAAUUUGACAUUAAAUCGUAGCUUCCGUCGUAUGCAUCGCUAAUCUCUAACCGUGCGGCCAUCUUCGUGAUAGGCUCGACAUGGUCAAAAUGACUGAUCGAAUCGGAUGUUUCAUUACGUAAACCGUGCGGCCAUCUUUGUGAUAGGCUCGACAUGGUUAAAAUGGGUGAUCGAGCAUCAUUAAUGUUGUUACGAAAACUGUGCGGCCAUCUUCGUGAUAGGCUCGACAUAGUUGAAAGCGUAAACCGUGCGGCCAUCUUCGUGAUAGGCUCGACAUGGUCGAAAAGAUUAAUCGAGCGGCCA
rnacentral:lncRNA from 1 species